rnacentral:rRNA from 1 species
UACGGAGGGGCAAGCGUUGUUCGGAAUUACUGGGCGUAAAUGGGCGCGCAGGCGGCUGCUCAAGUCAGGCGUGAAAGGCCUGGGCUCAACCCGGGAAUUGCGCUUGAGACUGGGCUGGCUUGAGUGCGGGAGAGGAUGGUGGAAUUCCCAGUGUAGAGGUGAAAUUCGUAGAUAUUCGCAAGAACACCAGUGGCGAAGGCGGCUCACUGGCCCGGUACUGACGCUGAGGUGGCGAAAAGCGGUGGGGAGCAAACAGGG